UACGAAGGGGGCUAGCGUUGCUCGGAAUGACUGGGCGUAAAGGGCGCGUAGGCGGUUCGUACAGUCAGACGUGAAAUUCCCGGGCUCAACCUGGGGACUGCGUUUGAUACGUGCGGGCUUGAGUUCGGAAGAGGGUCGUGGAAUUCCCAGUGUAGAGGUGAAAUUCGUAGAUAUCGGGAGGAACACCGGUGGCGAAGGCGGCGACCUGGUUCGAUACUGACACUGAGGUGCGAAAGCGUGGGGAGCAAACAGG
rnacentral:rRNA from 1 species